rnacentral:rRNA from 1 species
UACGGGGGGGGCAAGCGUUGUUCGGAAUUACUGGGCGUAAAGGGCUCGUAGGUGGCCAACUAAGUCAGACGUGAAAUCCCCAGGCUUAACCUGGGAACUGCGUCUGAUACUGGAUGGCUUGAAUUCGGGAGAGGGAUGCAGAAUUCCAGGUGUAGCGGUGAAAUGCGCAGAUAUCAGGAGGAACACCGGUGGCGAAGGCGGGGUCUCUGGGGCCACUACUGACGCUGAGAAGCGAAAAGCAUGGGGGAGCGAACAGG